CUUGUAUUUUAUUUUGUUCCAGUUUUAAGAACUAACUGAGCCGAACUCUUUUUUUUUUCUUCAUGCAUGUAUUUAUUCAUUCCAUCUGGAUGUGCUAAUUAUCAUUUGAGUCUCAUGUUGACCCGAGAGCACAGCUGUGUUUCCAGCACAUCGCAGACAGACAGGUGAUGUUUCUGCAACAGUGACGUGAUCAAUCAGAGGUCCUCCAGAAAGGGCUCUGUCACAGGUGUCACUCACAAACAAACAUGCUGCCCCAGCUCGAGUUCACGGAGGCCGUCUGUCCCGCUGUGAACUCUGGGAGCUUUUACCUGCGCGUGUCUAGCGUGGCGCUUGUGUUUGGAGACAAAGAGGGAGGAUCAGCCCUGAUGACCCAGAAAGACGCUCGCGGAUGGGCCUAAUUAGAUUAGCCCAGUGUGACGAACGGGGGAUGACGUCAUGGCUCCGCUGGCCCGGUCAUGUGACCGGAUAAAACUGUUGGAGGCUGUCAGGUUUCUCCUUUUAUCACACGACCGGUCAUCCCAGUAGAGAUGCAACAUCUGUAUUUCAUUGCCGCUGGAGCCCUGCUUCCCCAGAGAGGCCGGCCUGGACUCGCUCUGCGGGAGGAUAGUCAAGGCUGCCUCGUCCUACACAGUCAGAUGAAACAUGCAGGCUUGCAGAGACUGGGCAAAUGAAACUUCACUAGAUCUGUCCGAAGUCACAGAGGGUUAAGUUGUGUUGGAUGAACAGAAGAAUCCUCUUUUCCGUCCCGAUUGGUCAGAAACAAGUAGUCCAUAUGACUCUCUACAUCUUCUGAAGUCAUAAGAUGCUUUGUGUGAGGAACAGAUCCAAAUACUGACAUUUUCCACUGCAGCUGUCAAAUCACAUUCACACAGAUGUUCAGUUCAAAUAUGACGUGCUAAAUUAUGACAUGGUGAUGGGGAACAAAAAGCGUUUGCAUCCACUUGGGGAACUUGCAUGUUGCUCCAUAAAAAAAAAACUUUGCAUUUGCUGGCAAAAAUUUUGCAGUCCCCAAGAUUUUUUAUUUUCUUUUUCCUCACAAAGCUUUCAUGUUCUCCUGAAAAACUUUGCAUUUGAUGGCAAAACUUGCACAAGAAAUGUUGUGGUUGCUCACAAAACUUUUGCAUUUUCAUUUCGAAAUUUAGCUUACGCAAAUAAAACUUUUAAGUUUCCCAGAAACACUGUGCAUUUGCUGCCAGAACUUGCACAAGAAAUAUUGCAGUUGCUCAUAAAACUUUUGCAUUUUCAUUUUGAAAUUUAGC
ensembl:lncRNA